rnacentral:lncRNA from 1 species
CUGCCAGCUGUGGGUGUGGCACGAUGGGUGUGGUAAAACUGGGCAUGGGACAGGGGGGAGAUCGCUGGGCAGGGUAGUGACAGCUGGGGUGUGGCAUUGUCCUGUAUGUCACUGUAACACUGUCACUGUCACUGACACUGUCAUUGUCACUGUCACUGACACUGCUCCGUCAGCGUCACCAUGACACUGUCACUGUCACUGCCCCCUCAGCCUUACACUGUCAUUAUCAUUGUCAUUGUCACUGUCACUGUCACAGCCCCUCAGUGUCACUGUCACUGUCACUGUCACUGUCACUGUCACUGUCAUAGCUCCCUCAGCCCCAUAGUGACACUGUCACUGUCACUGCUCCCUCACCCUCACACUGUCACUGUCACUGUCACUGUCACUGUCACUGCCCCCUCAGUGUCACCGUGACACUGUCACUGUCAUUGUCACCAUCACUGUCACUGUCACUGUCACUGCCCCCUCAGCGUCACCGUGACACUGUCAUUGUCACUGUCACUGUCACCAUCACUGUCACUGUCACCAUCACUGCCCCCUCAGCCUCACACUGUCACUGUCAUUGUCACCGUCACUGUCACUGUCACUGUCCCCUCAGUGUCACAGUGACACUGUCACUGUCACUGUCACUGUCACUGUCACUGCCACCUCAGCCUCACCGUGACACUUGUCACUGCUCCCUCAGUGUCACACUGUCACUGUCACCAUCACUGUCACUGUCACAGCCCCUCAGUGUCACACUGUCAUUGUCACUGUCACUGUCACAGCCCCUCAGUGUCACUGUCACUGUCACUGUCACUGUCACAGCCCCUCA